ensembl:lncRNA LINC00649 long intergenic non-protein coding RNA 649
GUAGGCAUCCCGGGGGACAAACGCUGGGUCGUCCUGAGUCGCUCCCACUCGCCAGGUCCCAUAACCUUGAAGACUGCCAGACUUCCCCAGCCGAAGCAUCGCACCCUGGUGCUCGAGAACUUGGUCGAAUUUUCUCCUCUGUCAGAGAAGAGACUGGCUGGCAGAGCAAGGGGUCUUGCUGUGUCCCUCGGGCUGGAGUGCAGUGGCACCAUCACAGUUCACUUGCAGCCUCGACCUCCCUGGGUUCAAGCCAUCCUCCUGCCUCAGCCUCCAGAGGAGCUGGACUACAGAUAUGGAGUCGCCUAAGCUGGAGUGCAGUGACAUGAUCUCGGCUCACUGUAACCUCUGUCUCCCGGAUUCAAGCAAUUCUCCUGCCUCAGCCUCUGGAGUAGCUGGGAUUACAGCUGGGUGCGGUGGCUCAGGACUGUAAUUCCAGCUACAUGAGAGGAUUGCCUGAGGCCAGGAGUUUGAGACCAGCCUGAACAACAUAAUAGACUGGGAGCUCCAUGAGGUCCGAGACAACCUGAAGACGCCCAGCUCAGCAGAGACUGGCUACGGCAAUCACUCAGUAACUAUUUGUUGAAUUGGACAUAAUAGAAGAGCUGAAGAAUU